GACAUAUCAUGUAUAUUGUUGUAUGAAAGUAUGAACACUAAUAUUGUGUUCCCAAAUUGUUCUGGUAACUAAAAGACACCUUUUUGGGAAUGAAUAAGGCAAUUCUUAAUGCCCCCUUUCAAAAUGUGAUUUUACAGAUCUGAAACAUUACACAAAAUUAAUAUGAAAUAUAUUUCAAAAUAUAAAGAAAAUAUUCUCAGAGAUCAACAAAUUAAUCAACAUUACUUACAACUUGGCGCAGCUGCAGAUUCAAAUCUCUUUUGUAUCUGAUCAUAGGGCUAUAACUACAUGAAUUUGAACCACAAGCAGAUGGGCUUGAAGGACUGGCAGGGCCUUCCAUGUCUGAAGAAUCACCAGUAUUGUUUUGAGGACUAAAAUGCAAUUGUUUGCGCCGAUGCAGUCUCCGAAUCUCUUCUC